rnacentral:rRNA from 1 species
GAUGAACGCUGGCGGCGUGCCUAAUACAUGCAAGUCGAGCGAACGGACGAGAAGCUUGCUUCUCUGAUGUUAGCGGCGGACGGGUGAGUAACACGUGGAUAACCUACCUAUAAGACUGGGAUAACCUCGGGAAACCGGAGCUAAUACCGGAUGAUAUUUUGAACCGCAUGGUUCAAAAGUGAAAGACGGUCUUGCUGUCACUUAUAGAUGGAUCCGCGCUGCAUUAGCUAGUUGGUAAGGUAACGGCUUACCAAGGCAACGAUGCAUAGCCGACCUGAGAGGGUGAUCGGCCACACUGGAACUGAGUCACGGUCCAGACUCCUACGGGAGGCAGCAGUAGGGAAUCUUCCGCAAUGGGCGAAAGCCUGACGGAGCAACGCCGCGUGAGUGAUGAAGGUCUUCGGAUCGUAAAACUCUGUUAUUAGGGAAGAACAUAUGUGUAAGUAACUGUGCACAUCUUGACGGUACCUAAUCAGAAAGCCACGGCUAACUACGUG